UACGUAGGGGGCAAGCGUUGUCCGGAAUUAUUGGGCGUAAAGAGCUCGUAGGCGGUCUGUCGCGUCGGCUGUGAAAACUCGGGGCUCAACUCCGAGCUUGCAGUCGAUACGGGCAGGCUAGAGUUCGGCAGGGGAGACUGGAAUUCCUGGUGUAGCGGUGAAAUGCGCAGAUAUCAGGAGGAACACCAAUUGCGAAGGCAGCUCGCUGGGACGUUACUGACGCUGAGACGCGAAAGCAUGGGGAGCAAACAGG
rnacentral:rRNA from 1 species